rnacentral:rRNA from 1 species
GUCCUUUAGAUAAGAUAAUUUAAGGUCUAACCUGCCCACUGAAAAAUUUAAAGGCCGCAGUAAUUUGACUGUGCAAAGGUAGCAUAAUCAUUAGUUUUUUAAUUAAAAGCUUGUAUGAAUGGUUGGACGAGAUAAAAUCUGUCUCUGGUUAAUAAUUAGAAUUUAAUUUUUAAGUUAAAAAGCUUAAAUUAAUAUAAAAGACGAGAAGACCCUAUAGAUCUUAAUAUAAUAUUUUAAAAUUUUAUUUAAGAUUAUUUUAUUAAUUUUAUUAUUUUAUAUUUUAUUGGGGUAAUAAAAAGAUUAAAUUAAUUCUUUUUUUUUAUUUUACAAUUAUAAUUGAUUAUUUGAUCCAUUAAUAGUGAUUAUAAGAUUAAGUUACCUUAGGGAUAACAGCGUAAUUUUUUUAAAGAGUUCAUAUCGAUAAAAAAGUUUGCGACCUCGAUGUUGGAUUAAAAAUUAUUUUGGGUGUAGAAGUUCAAAAUUUUGGUCUGUUCGACCAUUAAAUUUUUACAUGAUCUGAGUUCAGACCGGUGUAAGCCAGGUCGGUUUCUAUCUUUAUUUAAUUAAUAUAUUUUAGUACGAAAGGACCAAAUAUUUAAUAUAUUUAUAUUUUUAUUUUGAUUAA